CUAAUUCAGAAAGUUUCUUCUCCCACUAGGGAUCGUGUGCUGCUUAAAUUUCAUUUAUUCAUUGGUAUCAUUUAGCGAAAAAGGGUGGUAGGGCAAGUGCCCACAGGAGUGCCAACAUAUUACAUAUAACCUGACAGAAUUUCAGUAAUACAUUCACAAGCCUGGCAAUAAACCCUAAUCCUCUAAACAGCUUGAACUCUUCAUGGUGUGAAAUGUUAUUAAAAAAUAUUGAACCUUCUUUUCAUAUUGCUACUAACAACAGGACAUGCUAGGGAUGCAGUCACAAAACAUGACUGACCAAAUAAUUGUUACCAGAUCGGCAGAUCCCAUCUUACAACAGGUUAUUUUAUCCAAUUAUUUGUUUCCGAGAUUCAUUCAAAAAGUACAAAUAUUUCCACUCUAGUUCCAAGAAACAGCACAUUUAGCCAACUGCAUACCAUCCCAAUAAUUGUAAUCCUCAAAGAUCAAAGCAUUAAAAAUUUAAAGUUGAAGUCAACUAGGGAAAGACUUG
rnacentral:misc_RNA from 1 species